CCUGCUAAAAAUAAAUUUCUAGAAAGAAGUUGGUGUUAGUAAUUUUAAUUAGUGUCAAAAAAAUGCCCAUUAAUAUACACUGCAGGCAACAGCCUAAACCAUUGAAUGUAUUCGUCUUCAUGCUUUUUAUUGAAUUUGGAUCUUUUUGAUUGAGCUGUUUGAAGCUGAGCAUGCUCUUGUUCAUGACGAACGGUCACGACCACAGGAUGAUUGGUCCCCAGCAAUAGUCUUGCAGGAUAUUAUACUUCUGCACAUGUGAGUGAAAAAGUAAAACCAACCCAAGCUGGUGCUGGAAAGAAAAGGAGAAAAUACCCUUCUUUGGAUACCUGGAAAAGGCGUAAACAGAUUGUCAACCUUUUUUUCUUUGAUAAAGAUAGUACUGAAAGUUCGAGCUUCUGCUUUCUUAGAUACCUUCCAUGUAGCCAUCUAGUUACGUACUGUAGCUGCCUGAGAAGCCUCAAGCGGUAAGACUGCCACCCCACAUCUAAGUCCAUGUUAAAU
rnacentral:lncRNA from 1 species